GUGUUCACCUUGACAGGGCCCUGUGCUAAUCACGAGUCUUUCCUGUUCAGAGCAGUGAGGCCUGAGACCCUCAACAGUGCUGUGUGUACAGAAGGCCCCCAGAAUCCACACAAAGGGGCCGCCUGAAACCUAGAGCAUUUGUGAAGGAGGAAAAUGGAAGGAACAACUGGAUGUUGUAAAUGUUUCUCAUCUGGCCUUAAAAUCCAUGAAAGCUGGAAAAUCACAAGGCAUCUGUGCACAUACUGGUGGAUUUUAAUGAGAGUCCUGUGUUUGGAGCACCAGAAAUAAACCAGCUUCAGAAGCAAAAACUAGGAGGAGGAAGCAGAGCUAGAGAUGGAAGGAGACCCAGCCAGCCCGGGCUCCAGUGACAUCGGCUGGUACACGCUUUUGUUUGCUUACGCUUGUUGAACUGAGUUUUUCAUAUGUAACUAACGAAUAGUGGCACAUGUGAGCCCGAGAAUUUGCAUUUCUGACAAGAUCCCAGGACCACCGCCUACUUUAAGAGAACACAGACAAUUCACCUCUAUAAAGGCACAGCAAGGAAAAGGAGUAGGCAGAGGUGACAGCAGAUCAUGGGGCUUCUCUUGAAAGGAAGACACCUCCCAGUGAUGAACCCUCAUCAUCCAUUUACUGACUUAUCCUUAUGUCACUAGGAUCUGAACGUCUAUGACACUCUUUCGAGCUGACACAGUGAAGAACAUGGAAGGAGAACUCACCCAGUCUGCCAGGGUCACAGAUGAUCAUACUCAAGAUCUUCCUGGGGAGUCAAUGGCAAAUUUCACUGGGCUAUUUUACAGAUGAAGAAGGAACAUAAAGAAGGUUCUGGGACCCU
rnacentral:sRNA from 1 species